UACGGGAGGCAGCAGUGGGGAAUUUUGGACAAUGGGCGAAAGCCUGAUCCAGCCAUGCCGCGUGCAGGAUGAAGGCCUUCGGGUUGUAAACUGCUUUUGUACGGAACGAAAAGACUCCUUCUAAUAAAGGGGGUCCAUGACGGUACCGUAAGAAUAAGCACCGGCUAACUACGUGCCAGCAGCCGCGGUAAUACGUAGGGUGCAAGCGUUAAUCGGAAUUACUGGGCGUAAAGCGUGCGCAGGCGGUUAUGUAAGACAGAUGUGAAAUCCCCGGGCUCAACCUGGGAACUGCAUUUGUGACUGCAUAGCUAGAGUACGGCAGAGGGGGAUGGAAUUCCGCGUGUAGCAGUGAAAUGCGUAGAUAUGCGGAGGAACACCGAUGGCGAAGGCAAUCCCCUGGGCCUGUACUGACGCUCAUGCACGAAAGCGUGGGGAGCAAACAGGAUUAGAUACCCUGGUAGUCCACGCCCUAAACGAUGUCAACUGGUUGUUGGGUCUUCACUGACUCAGUAACGAAGCUAACGCGUGAAGUUGACCGCCUGGGGAGUACGGCCGCAAGGU
rnacentral:rRNA from 1 species